rnacentral:rRNA from 1 species
AUCGAACGCUGGCGGCAGGCCUAACACAUGCAAGUCGAGCGAGCGGCGGACGGGUGAGUAAUGUCUGGGAAACUGCCUGUUGGAGGGGGAUAACUACUGGAAACGGUAGCUAAUACCGCAUACCAUCAGAUGUGCCCAGAUGGGAUUAGCUAGUAGGUGGGGUAAUGGCUCACCUCGGCAACGAUCCCUAGCUGGUCUGAGAGGAGGACCAGCCACACUAGAACGGAGACACGGACCAGACUCCUACGGGAGGCAGCAGUGGGGAAUAUUGCACAAUGGGCGGAAGCCUGAGGCAGCCAUGCCGCGUGUAUUAAGAAGGCGUUCGGGUUGUAAAGUACUUUCAGCGAGGAGGCGGUAGUCGCAGAAGAAGCACCGGCUAACUCCGUGCCAGCAGCCGCGGUAAUAC